rnacentral:rRNA from 1 species
UACGAGGGGGGCUAGCGUUGCUCGGAAUCACUGGGCGUAAAGGGUGCGUAGGCGGGUCUUUAAGUCAGGGGUGAAAUUCUGGGGCCCAACUCCGGAACUGCCUUUGAUACUGAGGAUCUUGGGUUCGGGAGAGGUGAGUGGAACUGCGAGUGUAGAGGUGAAAUUCGUAGAUAUUCGCAAGAACACCAGUGGCGAAGGCGGCUCACUGGCCCGAUACUGACGCUGGGGCACGAAAGCGUGGGGAGCAAACAGG